UACGUAGGGCGCAAGCGUUAUCCGGAAUUAUUGGGCGUAAAGAGCUCGUAGGCGGUUUGUCGCGUCUGCCGUGAAAAGUCCGGGGCUCAACUCCGGAUCUGCGGUGGGUACGGGCAGACUAGAGUGAUGUAGGGGGAGACUGGAAUUCCUGGUGUAGCGGUGAAAUGCGCAGAUAUCAGGAGGAACACCGAUGGCGAAGGCAGGUCUCUGGGCAUUAACUGACGCUGAGGAGCGAAAGCAUGGGGGAGCGAACAGG
rnacentral:rRNA from 1 species